UUGGAAAUGGAAUUAAACUGGAACUUGUGCAAAAAACACAUUCACUAUUUAUUGGAAUAGUGAUAUUAACAGUCUGCUUGGCCGUUUCUGUUGUUGCAAAUAUAGUCUUUUUCUGCAACCUAAGUCUUAAAGAAUGUGAACAAUGUAAAGCUGCUGCUGCUCUGCAAACAUAUAUUGAAACAACCAGUAAUGGUCAACAGAUAUAUGAGGACUUGUUGGUUUAUUCUGCACCAACCAAGCAAACAACUGACAAAGCAGGGAAAAGGAACGCAAAGGCAGUGGAGGAAAAUUGUGUCUACACAAAAGUCUUCUACUUACUUAAAAAACAGAAAUAAAUCAUCACGAUGGAAGGAUAUUCACAUUGAAUGAAAAAAUAUGUUGGGACAGUUUAUCACAGCUUUUUUCAUUUUUGUUUCUGUUUUGUGUCUUGAUUAAAUUCCUUAAAGAAGCUUGUGAUGAAAUCCAAACUGUAUUUUUGAAAGAUUCAUCUGAGUCAUGAUUUCCUGAUGAUUUCCUUUUCUUAUCUUUUAUCUGAUCUGCGUUUUUUA